AAGAUUUUAAGUUAAUAUAAACUGAGGGCUUUCAAGGCCUUUAAUAAAUAUAGUUGUUAAAUCUUG
rnacentral:tRNA from 1 species